rnacentral:misc_RNA from 1 species
GUCCGGACACAAGUUCCACCAGAAUUGUUUGAUUUGUCUAAGUUAAUCUGUGGGACAUAUGUGGAUUCCAGGCUUCUGAUUCUUCGUUCUGUCGAUGGAUCUGCCCUUUUAUUUACCAGAUCUUGUCUGGAUGAUAGCCAUAGAUGACGAUAGCUUUCAGAGCCAAAUUAUGUAAACCAAUCUCAUUGUAAAAAAAAAAUUCAUCGUCAAAUUUGCCAAUAGUAAAUCCAUGUUUGUAAUUUUU